GGCUCUGUGGCGCAAUGGAUAGCAUAUUGGACUUCCAGACUGUGAGCUGAGCCAUUCAAAGUUUGUGGGUUCGAGUCCCAUCAGAGUCG
rnacentral:tRNA from 1 species